AUUGAACGCUGGCGGCAGGCCUAACACAUGCAAGUCGAACGAGUGGCGGACGGGUGAGCAAUGACUGGGAAACUGCCUGAUGGAGGGGGAUAACUACUGGGAACGGUAGCUAAUACCGCAUACCAUCAGAUGUGCCCAGUUUGGAUUAGCUAGUUGGUGGGGUAACGGCCCACCAAGGCGACGAGCCGUAGCUGGUCUGAGAGGAUGACCAGCCACACUGGAACUGAGACACGGUCCAGACUCCUACGGGAGGCAGCAGUGGGGAAUAUUGGACAAUGGGCGCAAGCCUGAUGCAGCCAUGCCGCGUGUAUGAAGAAGGUCUUCGGAUUGUAAAGUACUUUCAGCGGGGAGGCGUUACCCGCAGAAGAAGCACCGGCUAACUCCGUGCCAGCAGCCGCGGUAAUAC
rnacentral:rRNA from 1 species